rnacentral:lncRNA from 1 species
CUGCAGGUGUAGUGUGUGUCUGUUCAACUCCCCCCCAAAUACCCUCACCUACAUCCCCCUCCCUACCCCCUCCCCUCUACUCUCUGUAUCUCCACUGUCUCUCUCUUUAUCUUAGACUUUCUGUUGCAUCUCUAUCUGUUGUCCAUGUCUGCUGUGACUCUGAUCCUUCCCGUUCAUCUCGUACAUCGAGCUCUUCUGCUGUUUUCGCCAGUAACACCACGCCCCGAUGGUGGCUGCCACGGCAACCGCGCACAUAGCAACCACAAUGGCUGCAACCGUGGAACCCCUGCCGGAGGAGGGAGGAGGGGGAGGAGGGCAGUCCUCCUCACCCCCAGUACACCCUGUCUCCCCCGUCUCACCUUCGCUCUCCUCCUCCUCACCCUCCAUCUCCCCGCUGUGUCGAGUCAGGUUGUGCUGGGCCGAACGUUCCUCCUCGUCGAUGACGUCAUCAGUCCACGCUGUGGGUGCGGGGCCGUGCUCCAGGAAAGGGUGCACGUGAUCCGUGGUUUCCCAGGAGCCUGUGGGAGAAGGCCUGGCUGUGUUGCCGGAGGCAUCGUCAUCCAGUGAUGAUGUCAGAGAGGGGGUGGCGUAGUCGGCUGAAUGUGAAUCUGAGGCUUCGGGGGAGAGAGGUAGGUCGGGUGAGGCUGUGGCCUCGGGGGAGAGAGGUAGGUCGGGUGAGGCUGUGGCCUCGGGGGAGAGAG